GCAAACCACUGAAGGAACGACGUGGGACUGUGUUUGCAUGUCAGUUCAGAUGGCAGUUUAAAGGCAUUUGAAUCCUCUGCAACGACAGAGCUUGGGUGUAUACUACUGUAGCAAUGACGACCAAAGCAGUGUCGGUGUAACUCCAAGUACUGAUGAACUAGAGACGAGAAAAGCUGUGUCGAGAGAGAGCAAACCACUGAAGGAACGACGUGGGACUGUGUUUGCAUGUCAGUUCAGAUGGCAGUUUAAAGGCAUUUGAAUCCUCUGCAACGACAGAGCUUGGGUGUAUACUAGCAAUGACGACCAAAGCAGUGUCGGUGUAACUCCAAGUACUGAUGAACUAGAGACGAGAAAAGCUGCGUCGAGAGAGAGCAAACCACUGAAGAAAUGACGUGGGACUGUGUUUGCAUGUCAGUUCAGAUGGCAGUUUAAAGGAAG